UACGUAGGGUGCAAGCGUUGUCCGGAAUUAUUGGGCGUAAAGAGCUCGUAGGCGGUUUGUCGCGUCGAAUGUGAAAACCCGGGGCUCAACCCCGGGCCUGCAUUCGAUACGGGCAGACUAGAGUUCGGUAGGGGAGUCUGGAAUUCCUGGUGUAGCGGUGAAAUGCGCAGAUAUCAGGAGGAACACCGGUGGCGAAGGCGGGACUCUGGGCCGAAUACUGACGCUGAGGAGCGAAAGCGUGGGGAGCAAACAGG
rnacentral:rRNA from 1 species